CGAACGGGUGAGUAACGCGUGAGGAACCUGCCUCAAAGAGGGGGACAACAGUUGGAAACGACUGCUAAUACCGCAUAAGCCCACGGGUCGGCAUCGAUCUGAGGGAAAAGGAGUGAUCCGCUUUGAGAUGGCCUCGCGUCCGAUUAGCUAGUUGGUGAGGUAACGGCCCACCAAGGCGACGAUCGGUAGCCGGACUGAGAGGUUGAACGGCCACAUUGGGACUGAGACGCGGCCCAG
rnacentral:rRNA from 1 species